UACGGAGGGAGCUAGCGUUGUUCGGAAUUACUGGGCGUAAAGCGCACGUAGGCGGUUAUUCAAGUCAGAGGUGAAAGCCCGGGGCUCAACCCCGGAACUGCCUUUGAAACUAGAUGACUAGAAUCUUGGAGAGGUCAGUGGAAUUCCGAGUGUAGAGGUGAAAUUCGUAGAUAUUCGGAAGAACACCAGUGGCGAAGGCGACUGACUGGACAAGUAUUGACGCUGGGGUGCGAAAGCGUGGGGAGCAAACAGG
rnacentral:rRNA from 1 species